UAAAUAAUUGUAUGUUAUGGUUAUGGGUUACAUUAUUUUCCUGACUGUUUUUCUAGGAACAUGAGCUUCUAUCAGUAAUAAAUACCCUCUGUUCAUACUGGACAAAUAAUAAGGGCAAGGAUAAAUUAAAAGUUGUACAAACUUUUCACAUAAUGCUGUAUAAUCUAGAUGAAAAAUUCAAAGACUUUUGUGAAAAUCUCAACUGCACGGAUGCUUACACAGUACGCGGCAUUGACACAGCCACUUUUGGAGAAAUGUAUAGAAAAUCUUGCGAUGGAUCAGUAUCAGACCUGAAGUGUCCAUCAAAGAGCACACCUUUAACAACGAUCAGCCCAACUCCUGAAUUCAGCACAGCAUUUUUAACAACGGUCAGUUUAAUCACCACAGAUCAUGAAAGUAAGCAAAUUCAAUAUUGUAUUUCAUAUUCACAUCAACACAGAUUACAGCACAGAUACUUUAUCUGCCACGUUAAUCAGAGUUUUUUUUACAUCAAACCACGUUUUCUAAUCACGUAGGCUUAACAUCUUUAACAACAUUGGUCAGCCCAAACAUCACUGCUCCUGAAAAUUUGACAGCAGAUCCAUCGGCACGUACAGAAACCAUCAGUAAGUUUGUCUCUUGUGAGAGCCACUUCAUCUGUAAUGAGCAGCAUAAUACCUUCAGCAUACACUCAGUAGUAACUUUCAGUGGCCAUCUGACAUAUUGUGCAUUCAGAAAGGUCCAGCACCAGCGCAGUGUGUCUUUAUCUCAGUCAUCAUCCCAUCUGGCCAAUCUCUGCUGACCCUUUCAGACCCAUACAGAAAUGCUGCCCUUU
rnacentral:lncRNA from 1 species